CUCCCUGUGGCUCAGUUGGUAGAGCAUGGUGUUUGCAACGCCAGGGUUGUGGGUUUGAUUCCCAUGGGGGGC
rnacentral:tRNA from 1 species